rnacentral:tRNA from 1 species
GACUCCAUAGUGUAGUGGUCACUAUGACUGCUUUACACACAGAAGGUCCUGGGUUCGUGCCCCAGGUGGAGCCA